rnacentral:rRNA from 1 species
AGAGUUUGAUCCUGGCUCAGGAUGAACGCUGGCGGCGUGCCUAAUACAUGCAAGUCGAACGUGCGGAGAGUUUCGGUUCUCCCAAAGUGGCGCACGGGUGAGUAACGCGUAGCUGACCUGCCCCUCGCAGGGGGAUAACACGCCGAAAGGCGUGCUAAUACCGCGUACGCUCACCGGGAUUUAGAAGCCGGUGAGGAAAGCGUUUGUAGCGGCGAGGGAGGGGGCUGCGUACCAUCAGCUAGUUGGUGAGGUAAUGGCUCACCAAGGCAACGACGGUUCGGGGACCUGAGAGGGUGACCCCCCACACUGGCACUGAGAUACGGGCCAGACUCCUACGGGAGGCAGCAGUAAGGAAUAUUGCACAAUGGGCGCAAGCCUGAUGCAGCAACGCCGCGUGCAGGAUGAAGGCUUUCGGGUCGUAAACUGCUUUUACCGGGGACGAGCAAGGACGGUACCCGGCGAAUAAGUCUCGGCUAACUACGUGCCAGCAGCCGCGGUAACACGUAGGAGACGAGCGUUAUCCGGAUUUACUGGGCGUAAAGCGCGGGUAGGUGGGGUCUUAAGUCAUGCGUGAAAGCUCCCGGCUUAACCGGGAGAGGUCGUGUGAAACUGGGGCUCUCAGAGGUAGGUAGAGGCAGAUGGAAUUCCGGGUGGAGUGGUGAAAUGCGUAGAGAUCCGGAGGAACACCAGUGGCGAAGGCGAUCUGCUAGGCCUGACCUGACACUCAGACGCGACAGCAUGGGGAGCGAACGGGAUUAGAAACCCCGGUAGUCCAUGCCGUAAACGAUGCAUACUAGACGUUAGGGAGGCAUAGCCUCUUUAGUGUCGAAGCUAACGCGAUAAGUAUGCCGCCUGGGGAGUACGAGCGCAAGCUUAAAACUCAAAGGAAUUGACGG